GAUUGGCCUCGGAUCAGGGUAGGGAUACCCGUGAACUUAAGCUAUCAU
rnacentral:rRNA from 1 species